CACGUAUUUAGCCGUCGCUUCUUCUGCAGGUACCGUCAUUCUCUUCUUCCCUGCUGAAAGCACUUUACAAUCCGAAAACCUUCUUCGUGCACACAGGAUUGCUGGAUCAGGGUUGCCCCCAUUGUCCAAUAUUCCCCACUGCUGCCUCCCGUAGGAGUAAGGGCCGUAUCUCAGUCCCCUUGUGGCCGUUCACCCUCUCAGGCCGGCUACCUAUCAUCGCCUUGGUGGGCCGUUACCCCGCAACCAGCUAAUAGGACGCAAAGCUCUCCCGCAGCAUCUCUUUUCAUUGCCGGGCACAUGCGUACCGGCAAUUAUAUCAGGUUUUAUCAGUCGUUUCCGUCUGUUAUCCCUGUCUGCGGGGCAAGUUCUUUACGCGUUACUCACCCGUCCGCCUUGGCUUGGCUGUGCAAGCACAGCUUUGCCAAGACUUGCAUGUGUUAAGCAUUCUGUCAGCGUUCAUCCUGAGCCAGGAUCAAACUCU
rnacentral:rRNA from 1 species